UCCUGUCAGUGAUGUUGUAUUCUAUAUCCUGUCAGUGAUGUUAUCCAGGUAGAGUAUUCUAUAUCCUGUCAGUGAUGUUAUCCAGGUAGAGUAUUCUAUAUCCUGUCAGUGAUGUUAUCCAGGUGGAGUAUUCUAUAUCCUGUCAGGGAUGUUAUCCAGGUAGAGUAUUCUAUAUCCUGUCAGUGAUGUUGUCCAGGUAGAGUAUUCUAUAUCCUGUCAGUGAUGUUAUCCAGGUAGAGUAUUCUAUAUCCUGUCAGUGAUGUUGUCCAGGUGUUGUAUUCUAUAUCCUGUCAGUGAUGUUAUCCAGGUAGAGUAUUCUAUUUCCUGUCAGUGAUGUUGUAUUC
rnacentral:lncRNA from 1 species